rnacentral:rRNA from 1 species
UACGUAGGGUGCGAGCGUUAAUCGGAAUUACUGGGCGUAAAGCGUGCGCAGGCGGUUUGUUAAGACAGAUGUGAAAUCCCCGGGCUUAACCUGGGAACUGCAUUCGAGACUGCGUGGCUAGGGUGCGGAAGAGGGAAGCGGAAUUUCCGGUGUAGCGGUGAAAUGCGUAGAUAUCGGAAGGAACACCAGUGGCGAAAGCGGCUUCCUGGUCCAGCACCGACGUUCAGGCACGAAAGCGUGGGGAGCAAACAGG